rnacentral:rRNA from 1 species
UACGGGGGGGGCAAGCGUUGUUCGGAAUUACUGGGCGUAAAGGGCUCGUAGGCGGCCAACUAAGUCGGACGUGAAAUCCCCAGGCUCAACCUGGGAACUGCGUCCGAUACUGGAUGGCUUGAAUCCGGGAGAGGGAUGCGGAAUUCCAGGUGUAGCGGUGAAAUGCGUAGAUAAUCAGGAGGAACACCGGUGGCGAAGGCGGGAUCUCUGGGCCGGAUACUGACGCUGGAGGAGCGAAAGCG